rnacentral:rRNA from 1 species
CAGUAGCCACGGUAACACGUAGGGUGCGAGCGUUGUCCGGAUUUAUUGGGCGUAAAGGGCUCGUAGGUGGUUGAUCGCGUCGGAAGUGUAAUCUUGGGGCUUAACCCUGAGCGUGCUUUCGAUACGGGUUGACUUGAGGAAGGUAGGGGAGAAUGGAAUUCCUGGUGGAGCGGUGGAAUGCGCAGAUAUCAGGAGGAACACCAGUGGCGAAGGCGGUUCUCUGGGCCUUUCCUGACGCUGAGGAGCGAAAGCGUGGGGAGCGAACAGGCUUAGAUACCCGCGUAGUCCCUGUCUCUUAUAC